rnacentral:rRNA from 1 species
UACGUAGGGGGCGAGCGUUGUCCGGAUUCAUUGGGCGUAAAGGGCGCGUAGGCGGCUUUAUAAGUCGGGGGUGAAAGCCUGUGGCUCAACCACAGAAUUGCCUUCGAUACUGUAGAGCUUGAGACCGGAAGAGGUAAGUGGAACUGCGAGUGUAGAGGUGAAAUUCGUAGAUAUUCGCAAGAACACCAGUGGCGAAGGCGGCUUACUGGUCCGGUUCUGACGCUGAGGCGCGAAAGCGUGGGGAGCAAACAGG